AUAAAAACUUCUGGUAGAAAAAUUUACAGGAUUUACAGGAUGGUAGGAGGGUGUCAAAUCAAUCUUGAAAUCAUUGCUCCAGAUUCCAAGUCCCCAUCCCAUUUUACAAGUUUUCCAAGUUCUCUAUGCACAAAGGUAGUGGAGUUUUGCAGGUGUAGCAUUAUAAUAUACUUUUACAAACUGCUCUUUGAAAUACAGAGACUAGAAACAUGUCAUUUUUUAUAUGAAAAUAUCGAAUAUAUUACUUAUACAUUACCAACGUUGGGAAAAAGCCAAAUACAUCAAAUGCUGCAUCAUGAUUAA
rnacentral:lncRNA from 1 species